UACAGAGACCUCAAGCGUUAUCCGGAUUCAUUGGGCGUAAAGCGUGUGUAGGGGGCCAUAUUAGUCUCCCGUCAAAUCUCGGGGCUUAACUCCGAAACUGCGGGUGAAACGGUAUGGCUGGAGUAUGCAAGAGGCAAGCGGAACUCAUGGUGUAGCAGUGAAAUGCGUUGAUAUCAUGGGGAACACCAAAGGCGAAGGCAGCUUGCUGGGGCAUUACUGACCCUGAGACACGAAAGCGUGGGUAGCGAAUGGG
rnacentral:rRNA from 1 species